UACGUAGGGUGCAAGCGUUUAAUCGGAAUUACUGGGCGUAAAGCGUGCGCAGGCGGCUUUGCAAGACAGAUGUGAAAUCCCCGGGCUUAACCUGGGAACUGCAUUUGUGACUGCAUCGCUGGAGUGCGGCAGAGGGGGGAUGGAAUUCCGCGUGUAGCAGUGAAAUGCGUAGAUAUGCGGAGGAACACCGAUGGCGAAGGCAAUCCCCUGGGCCUGCACUGACGCUCAUGCACGAAAGCGUGGGGGAGCAAACAGG
rnacentral:rRNA from 1 species